rnacentral:lncRNA from 1 species
UCAAGUGUUUUGUCCACCAUGGUCCAGCUCUUGAGUUCCUGGAGACCAUGGCCUUCUUGAACAUGUCCCAACAUGUCAACGGCCCCACUCACGUGGGGGGUCAUACACUUGACCUGGUUUUUUCUACCAAUGGGAGUGAGAGUGGUCCGAUGGUGACUGACCUUGAGUCGGUACCCUUGUCAUGGUCGGAUCACCACCUAAUAAAGUGUACCAUUAAAAUGGCUCUCCCCCCCUGCAGGGAGCAGGGAUCUAUUGUUAUGGUCCGCCCUCGAAGGCUACUGGAUCCUGUUGGAUUCCAGGAUGCCAUGAGAGGUGUUACGGCUGACCUGGCUGGCGCUCCUGUCGAGGCUCUGGUGGAUGGCUGGUUUGCUGCCGCGACUAGGGCUGCUGACAUGAUCGCACCUAAACGCCCUCUCCGGCGCAGAGACCGCCCGGCACCCUGGUUUAACCGGGACCUCCGGGCGAGGAAGCGGGUCAGGAGACGGCUAGAGCGCAGGUGGAGAGGGGCCCCGACGGAUCUUAAUAGGAUAGCUGUCAGGGUCGCUACUAACCUUUAUCUUGCUAAGGUAAAGGCUGCUAGUAGAUCAUACCUCGCUAACCGGAUAAGCGAGGCGUCCAACCAGCAGGCGGAGUUAUUCCGUAUAGUACGCGACCUUUCCGGAGUUGGUCCGGGUGAUGGGCCUCCCCCUAGUUUUUCGCCGGACCAAUUUGCAGCAUUUUUUAAAUCAAAAGUGGAGGCCAUCCGCCGGGACCUCUCUCCUUUUUUGAGUACAGUGAGUCGAGCUGAGAUGUCCAGCGCUCCGUCUUGCCCGGUGACUUUGGACACCUUUCAGCCUGUUACGCCUGAUACUGUCUCCAGGGCGCUUGAUCGCUGUCGUGCCACCACCUCCUCUUUGGACCCUUGCCCGGCCUGGCUAAUCAAAGCAGCCAGGCCGUUAACAACGGAGUGGGCCACGGCUAUUAUAAAUGGGUCUCUCCUUGAGGGCAGAUUUCCAUCUGCCCUGAAGGACACACUCAUUAGGCCCAUUAGGAAGAAACCUAGUUUGGCGGCGGACGAAAUUGGCAACUACAGGCCCGUCGCCAAUGUUUCCUUCCUUAGCAAGGUAGUCGAGAGGGUGGUGGCCGAUCAGCUUCAGGCGCUCUUGGAAGAAACAGAUGCCCUGGAUCCAUUCCAGUCGGGCUUCAGGCCGCGCCACGGCACAGAAACGGCUUUGGUCGCCCUGUGUGAUGACCUACUGAGGGAGGCCGACAGGGGUAAAGUGUCCCUGUUGGUCCUCCUCGACAUCUCAGCGGCCUUUGAUACCAUUGACCACGGUAUCCUCCUGGGGAGGCUCUCCGAGUUGGGAAUAGGUGGCCUGGCAUUGUCCUGGCUCCGUUCCUUCUUGGAGGACCGCCCCCAGAGAGUNNNNNNNNNNNNNNNNNNNNNN